rnacentral:rRNA from 1 species
AAAAACAUAACCGUAUGGGAUUAAUAUUCGGCUAUUUCUGCUCAAUGAUAUUAAAUAGCCGCAGUACCCUGACUGUGCAAAGGUAGCAUAAUCAUUUGGCUUUUAAUUGAAGUCUGGCAUGAAUGAAUUUAUGGCUGGCAGCUGUCUUUUACAAGCGUUGUGAAUUUUCUUAAUAAGUGUAAAUACUUAUAUAAGGAUAAUAGACGAGAAGACCCUUGAAAUUUUUACAAAAUGUGUGAUACACUGCACGUUUUUGUUGGGGCGACAAAAUAACACAAAACUUAUUGUUGUAGAUUUGAACUAAAUGUUGUGAGAAAAUAAAUUACUCUAGGGAUAACAGCAUAAUUUUAAUUAGUUUGUGACCUCGAUGUUGGAUUAGGGACAAAGCUAU